GACGAACGCUGGCGGCGUGCUUAACACAUGCAAGUCGAACGGAAAGGCCUGCUUUCCCUUGUGGAUUGCGGGUACUCGAGUGGCGAACGGGUGAGUAACACGUGAGUGAUCUGCCCCCAACUUGGGUAUAAGCCUGGGAAACUGGGUCUAAUUCCCGAUAGGACUGCAGGGUGGUGCCUGUGGUGGAAAACGAUUUUCUAGUGGUUGGGGAUGAGCUCGCGGCCUAUCAGCUUGUUGGUGGGGUAAUGGCCUACCAAGGCGGCGACGGGUAGCCGGCCUGAGAGGGUGGACGGGCACAUUGGGACGGAGAUACGGCCCAGACUCCGACGGGAGGCAGCAGUGGGGAAUAUUGCACAAUGGGCGGAAGCCUGAUGCAGCGACGCCGCGUGGGGGAUGACGGCCUUCGGGUUGUAAACUCCUUUCGACCGCGAGGAAGCCACCUGGUUGGAAGGGUGGUGACGGUAGUGGUAGAAGAAGCACCGGCUAACUACGUG
rnacentral:rRNA from 1 species